AGGGAAUCUUCCGCAAUGGACGAAAGUCUGACGGAGCAACGCCGCGUGAGUGAUGAAGGUUUUCGGAUCGUAAAGCUCUGUUGCCAGGGAAGAACGUCUUCUGGAGUAACUGCCAGGAGAGUGACGGUACCUGAGAAGAAAGCCCCGGCUAACUACGUGCCAGCAGCCGCGGUAAUACGUAGGGGGCAAGCGUUGUCCGGAAUUAUUGGGCGUAAAGCGCGCGCAGGCGGCUGUUUAAGCCUGGUGUAUAAUCCUGGGGCUCAACUCCGGGUCGCACUGGAAACUGGACGGCUUGAGUGCAGAAGAGGAGAGUGGAAUUCCACGUGUAGCGGUGAAAUGCGUAGAGAUGUGGAGGAACACCAGUGGCGAAGGCGACUCUCUGGGCUGUAACUGACGCUGAGGCGCGAAAGCGUGGGGAGCAAAC
rnacentral:rRNA from 1 species